rnacentral:rRNA from 1 species
GGAGUUAGCCGGUGCUUCUUCUGUGAGUGAUGUCCUUCCUGCCGGCUAUUAACCCGCAGGCCUUCUUCCUCACUGAAAGUGCUUUACAACCCGAAGGCCUUCUUCACACACGCGGCAUGGCUGGAUCAGGGUUGCCCCCAUUGUCCAAUAUUCCCCACUGCUGCCUCCCGUAGGAGUCUGGGCCGUGUCUCAGUCCCAGUGUGGCUGAUCAUCCUCUCAGACCAGCUACGGAUCGUCGCCUUGGUGAGCCGUUACCUCACCAACCAGCUAAUCCGACAUAGGCUCAUCCGAUAGCGCGAGGCCCGAAGGUCCCCCGNUUUCCCCCGUAGGGCGUAUGCGGUAUUAGCCUGGGUUUCCCCAGGUUAUCCCCACUACCGGGCAGAUUCCUAUGCAUUACUCACCCGUCCGCCGCUCGCCACCAGGGAGCAAGCUCCCCGUGCUGCCGCUCGACUUGCAUGUGUUAGGCCUGCCGCCAGCGUUCAAUCUGAGCCAGGAUCAAACUCUGA